AGGUAUAUGGGCAUCUCUCUCUCUCUCUCUCUCUCUCUCUCUCUCUGUGUGUGUGUGUGUGUGUGUGUGUGAGAGAGAGAGAGAGAGAGAGAGAGAGAGAGUUAAGUGGGGCUU